GUUUUGUGCAUACCAAACAAUUGAGGGAGAUCAUUUGACAUGAAUUGUAUUUGUCAGGCCAUGAGAGCAGUAAUUAAUGACCGGAGAUAUGGUGCUCUAAAAUCCCUAUGUGAGCGGAAGCAAGCUUUUAAUGAGUAUCUGAGCCAAAAGAAAAAACUGGAAGCUGAAGAGAGGCGUGUUAAACAGAAAAAGGCUCGGGAAGAUUUCAGGAUAAUGUUAGAAGAUUGCAAGGAGCUGUCACCAUCGUCAAGAUGGAG